AGGAGGAUUUGACAAGGGGGUGGUUAGGGUGAUACAUUGAGACGAGGUUGGAGAUAUAGCUGGGGGCAGAGUUGUGGAUUGCUUUUUAC